GAGACAGCAGUCGCCGCGGUAAUACGUAGGUGGCAAGCGUUGUCCGGAAUUAUUGGGCGUAAAGGGCUCGCAGGCGGUUUCUUAAGUCUGAUGUGAAAGUCCCCGGCUCAACCGGGGAGGGUCAUUGGAAACUGGGAAACUUGAGUGCAGAGGAGGAGAGUGGAAUUCCACGUGUAGCGGUGAAAUGCGUAGAGAUGUGGAGGAACACCAGUGGCGAAGGCGACUCUCUGGUCUGUAACUGACGCUGAGGAGCGAAAGCGUGGGGAGCGAACAGGAUUAGAUACCCGCGUAGUCCCUGUCUCUUAUAC
rnacentral:rRNA from 1 species